rnacentral:tRNA from 1 species
GCGCCCGUAGCUCAGCUGGAUAGAGUAACGGACUACGAAUCCGGAGGCCAGAGGUUCGAAUCCUCUCGGGCGCGCCA